AGUUAAUUAGCUUAUUAAGCAUUUAUUUUGAAAGUAAAAGGAAAGAGUAUAACUCUAUUAACUU
rnacentral:tRNA from 1 species